UACGAAGGGGGCUAGCGUUGUUCGGAAUUACUGGGCGUAAAGCGCGCGCAGGCGGUCUUCCAAGUCAGUGGUGAAAGCCCGGAGCUCAACUCCGGAACUGCCAUUGAAACUGUAAGACUUGAGGAUGAGAGAGGUGAGUGGAAUUCCCAGUGUAGAGGUGAAAUUCGUAGAUAUUGGGAAGAACACCGGUGGCGAAGGCGGCUCACUGGCUCAUAUCUGACGCUCAGGUGCGAAAGCCAGGGGAGCGAACGGG
rnacentral:rRNA from 1 species